UACGGAGGGUGCAAGCGUUGUCCGGAUUUAUUGGGUUUAAAGGGUGCGUAGGUGGCAGAGUAAGUCUGGUUUGAAAGCUGGUCGCUUAACGAUCAGAUGUGGCUGGAAACUGCUUUGCUUGAAUGGGUUGGCGGUAGCUGGAACGGGUCAUGUAGCGGUGAAAUGCAUAGAUAUGACCCAGAACCCCGAUUGCGAAGGCAGGCUACUACGACUUGAUUGACACUGAGGCACGAGAGCAUGGGGAGCCAACAGG
rnacentral:rRNA from 1 species